rnacentral:rRNA from 1 species
GAUGAACGCUAGCGGCAGGCUUAAUACAUGCAAGUCGAGGGGCAGCGCAGUGUAGCAAUACAUAGGCGGCGACCGGCAAACGGGUGCGGAACACGUACAGAACCUUCCUUCGAGCGGGGAAUAGCCCAGAGAAAUUUGGAUUAAUACCCCAUAGUAUAGUGGAGAGGCAUCUCUUUACUAUUAAAGAUUUAUCACUUGAAGAUGGCUGUGCGGCUGAUUAGGUAGUUGGCGGGGGUAACGGCCCACCCAAGCCUGCGACUCAGUAACUGGUGUGAGAGCACGACCA